GCUCUCUGGCCGUUCCCAGCGGCAGCGGGGCAAGGAUGAAGGACCGGACCGGGGAGCUGCGCGCUGCCAAGGACAGUGAUGAUGAUGAUGAAGUCACCGUCAGCGUGGACCGGGAUCGUUUCAUGGAUGAGUUCUUUGAGCAGGUGGAAGAAAUUCGAGGCUUCAUUGAUAAAAUCUCGGAGAAUGUGGAAGAAGUGAAAAGGAAGCACAGUGCCAUUCUGGCUUCCCCCAACCCUGAUGAAAAAACGAAAGAGGAGCUGGAGGAGCUGAUGUCUGACAUCAAGAAGACGGCGAACAAAGUGCGCUCCAAACUAAAGAGCAUUGAGCAGAGCAUCGAACAAGAGGAGGGACUGAACAGGUCAUCGGCCGACCUGCGGAUAAGGAAAACUCAGCACUCCACGCUGUCCCGCAAGUUCGUGGAGGUGAUGUCGGAGUACAACGCCACGCAGACCGACUACCGGGAGCGCUGCAAGGGCAGGAUCCAGAGGCAGCUGGAGAUCACUGGCAGGACCACCACCAGCGAGGAGCUGGAGGACAUGCUGGAGAGCGGCAACCCGGCCAUCUUCUCCUCUGGGAUCAUCAUGGAUUCCAACAUCACCAAGCAGGCUCUGAACGAGAUUGAGACACGGCACAGUGAGAUCAUCAAGCUGGAGAACAGCAUCCGAGAGCUGCACGACAUGUUCAUGGACAUGGCCAUGCUGGUGGAGAGCCAGGGCUGCCGGGCAGGGCAGCGUUCCCCCGGAGGCAGGGAGCCGCCGAGCAGGAGGGCGCUCAGGUCUGCGCGGGCGCGCGGGCUGUGUCCCCCUGCAGGGAGAGAUGAUUGACCGCAUCGAGUACAACGUGGAGCACUCGGUGGACUACGUGGAGAGGGCUGUGUCCGACACCAAAAAGGCCGUGAAGUACCAGAGCAAAGCCAGACGGAAGAAGAUCAUGAUCAUAAUCUGCUGUGUGAUCCUGGGCAUCGUCAUCGCCUCCACCUUCGGCGGCAUUUUCGGCUAGCCUCCCCCCCAGGACUGUCUGUGUGCGAUGGAUGGAGCCGCGCGUGCCAUGGGGCUGCAGCCACCCGGAGCGACCCGCGCAGCCCCGGAGCCUCCCAGCAGCAUUUCAGUUUAAUGCAUGGUUGUUUGUGACGCUGUGUGUGCGGUGCGGUGCGUCUGUGUGGAGGGAGCUCCGGCCCCGGGGCGGGCGGGGGGCCGGCCCUGGUGAUGGCUGCAAGGGGCACCCCGGCGGGGAACCCGAGCUCUCAUCACUGCUCCAGGCUGGGGGGCUGGCUGGGACCGGCUGGGUGGGGGACAGGAGUGCCCGUGGGCGCUGCUGCUGCUCAUCCUGUGAUGGGCAGUGUGUGUUAGUGACAGGAGGAGGGAGGGAGAGAGGGAUGAUGGGGGUCAGGGGUCCUCGGGAGUGCCCAGUCCACCUCCCCAGCUUGCCCAUCACCUCCAACUCUCAUGUCUGUCGGCCGCAUCUGUGCUUGCAAACACCUUCCCUCGGGCUGCUUCUCUCCGGGGCCCUUCCCCAGGGGUGUGCUCUGCCCAGCCCUGCCUGGCCAGUGACUGUCUGGCUCUGGGGCUCCAUCCCUGCCACUCCUCCCCUCCCUACAUGAGCCCUCACCCCAGUAGGGUGCCAAAGGCUGGUGGGUGCCUGAUGGAGCGGUGUGGAAUAAGGAGCUGCUGCUUGGGGCCAUCACAGUAGCCUGGGGACAGGAAUAGGGCACGUGGGGGCCAGUGAAUUUCCCUGGCUGCUCAUCCUGCAGCACAGCCUCAGGCAGUGCUCUCAGCCCUGGCACACGGUGCCCUGGCUCCUCUUGCACACAGGCUGGACUCUGCCUGCCGGGGUUUGGGGCUGUGGCUGAUGUCCACAGCCCCUGGCAGCACUCACCUGCAAGCAGGGCCGCUCCAGCCUUGCUUUUUCAUACCCAUGGCUGGGGGUUAGAAGCAGUUGGGCUCUCUCCUGUUGUGGUGCCAGGAGCAGCCCUUGCUGCAUCCAGCCCCCUGCCAGCCAGGAGCAGCAGCCUCCCUCCUCCUGUAUCCAGUCAGGCUCUGAACAGGCCAGUGCCUGCCUGCCUGCCUGUUUGCCACCUCCUGGCACUGCUGCUCCUGGCACUGUGCCCUCCUACCCAGCCAUCCAGUGAGGCACCUGCUCUCAGUGGGGAGCUGUGGGACAGCCUGGGUGCCCUGUGCCCUCUGCCGUGCCCAUGACACAGAUGCAGCUGCUGUAGGGGUCUCACUGGCAGCUCAGGGGGGUCCAGUUCUGCCACGGCCUGUUUCCCUCAGGCUAGGGACAGGGCUCUGCCCUCACCUUCCUCUGGAGACCCCAGGGCUCUGGCUGGCCUGUGCACAUGCCAAAGCACCCCCAGAGGAGUCCCAAGUCACUGCCACUCUGGGACAGGGGCUGGCUGUCAGGUGCUGGUAGCAGAAAAGGGACACUUGAUUGCAGCCAGUAUUCCAGCCUCGGGCUGCGUUACCUCCCAGCUCCCACCAGCACCAGGGCAAGGCUGCUCCACAAGCUGGCAGGGUGCUGUGGCUCAGGCACUGGCUGUGUGUGGUGCCCUCUGGGUGCAGGGGAGAGGCAGAGGCUGCAGCCACAGGGUGCUGCCUGCCCCAGGGCCUGCCCUGACACAGCUCUGCCACUGUCACCCGAGGUCCCCCCCCACAGCCCCUUGCUGCAUGCAGCUGUCUUGGGAAGUGGGUCCAGCCUGGUUCCCCACACUGCUCAGUCCAAGCCCCUCGGGGUGCAGCCAUGGGAACACCCCAAACCAGAGCCCCCUUCUUUCACAGUCCCACAGCAUGGAUGUGAGCUCCAGCACUGCAGCCUGCAGGCACUGAAGGGCUUGGGGCACCAGGACCAUGCAGGCAGGGCUAGGAGGCAGGCAAGGGCAGGGUCUCUGCUCCAGGGGGACACGUCUGGCUGCAGGAAAAGGGAGUGGCCAUGCUUCUGUCCCUCAGCAACUCCCUGCCACUGCCAUUUAUGCUUACUCUGCCAGGCCAGCAAGAGCCCCAGGGCCCCUCCAGGAAGCAAUAACACUGGGCAGGCAGGAAAACCCUCCUCCCAGGCUGCUGCCCUGCAGCCAUGCUCCUGCCCUGCAGCCAUGCCAACUGCUAGCACAAGGUGACUUUUUUUUCUUCCAGGCAGCGGCUUUAGUGGCACAAGCUCACCUGACAUCAGGGCUGUGGCACCCCUAUCAAGGCACAAGGCCAGGAACUGCCUCAAGGGGGCUUCUUGGCCCUUGCUCCUUGUUGGCACCACCACUGCCAGCAGCCCCCACAGCAGCAGGAGUCAGACGGGGCCAGUCAGGGCCGCUGGCACUUUGCUGGGAUCCUGUGGGCAGCAGCAGUGCUGGGCUCCAGAGGCAGGGAGACGAGGAGCAGGCUGCCACUGCUGCCCCACAGGCAGGCUCACACUGUCCUCGCUGUGAGGGGAGGGUGUUUUGGUGCAAUAAUUACCCCUGCACUACGGGAAGCCCCAUUGAGUUCCUUUUCACCUACCUGUUGUUGCAUGUACAGACCAAAUCACCAAGUGUGGUUGUGCUUUGGGAAGACGUUUCACCUUUUCUUUCCAGCCCCCAACCUGCACCCGCUUGUCCUUUGGGUUCCACCACCUCUGUUCCAGGUGCCACCUGCCCUCCCCAUGCCGGGAGCGUGUUGAUGCAGUAUUCCAUGAGCAGUGUGGGGCACGCACAGCUUGCACUCGAACUGGGGAUUGGGUUUUUUUUGGGUUUUUUUUUUUGUAAUUAAUGUACUUGAAGGCUUUCCGAGCCCCCCGUGGAGUUCUACUGUUGCUGUACUGUGAGCUAAGUGUCCUUGUUUUCUAUGUGGAUCUUGACCCUGGCUUGCUCUGUCUCACUGGGCUGGAUGACACUGUAUGUUGCCUCUCUUCUCCUUCCCUCUUUCCCUUCCUGCUAGCAUUCCUUUCUUCUCCCAAGGCUUUGGGUGCAAAACAGCUUCCCAUUUUGUGGAAUUUUUAUGUAGAAUAAACAUUUGUAACUGUAAA